rnacentral:rRNA from 1 species
UACGUAGGGGGCUAGCGUUGUCCGGAUUUAUUGGGCGUAAAGAGCGUGUAGGCGGCCAGGUAGGUCUGCUGUGAAAACUCGAGGCUCAACCUCGAGAUGUCGGCGGAAACCAUCUGGCUAGAGUCCGGAAGAGGAAAGUGGAAUUCCUGGUGUAGCGGUGAAAUGCGCAGAUAUCAGGAGGAACACCGGCGGUGUAGACGGCUUGCUAGACCACCCCUGACGCUGAGGCACGAAAGCGUGGGUAGCAAACAGG